UGGGGAAUAUUGCACAAUGGAGGGAACUCUGAUGCAGCGACGCCGCGUGAACGAAGAAGGCUUUCGAGUCGUAAAGUUCUUUUAUAUGGGAAGAUAAUGACGGUACCAUAAGAAAAAGCCCCGGCUAACUACAUGCCAGCAGCCGCGGUAAUACGUAGGGGGCUAGCGUUGUCCGGAAUCACUGGGCGUAAAGGGUUCGCAGGCGGAAAUGCAAGUCAGGUGUAAAAGGCAGUAGCUUAACUACUGUAAGCAUUUGAAACUGCAUAUCUUGAGAAGAGUAGAGGUAAGUGGAAUUUUUAGUGUAGCGGUGAAAUGCGUAGAUAUUAAAAAGAAUACCGGUGGCGAAGGCGGCUUACUGGGCUCAUUCUGACGCUGAGGAACGAAAGCGUGGGUAGCAAACAGG
rnacentral:rRNA from 1 species